rnacentral:rRNA from 1 species
GACGAACGCUGGCGGCGUGCUUAACACAUGCAAGUCGAGCGAUGAAGCUCCUUCGGGAGUGGAUUAGCGGCGGACGGGUGAGUAACACGUGGGCAACCUGCCUUAUAGAGAGGAAUAGCCAUCCGAAAGGAUGAUUAAUACCUCAUAAUAUUGUAGCUUCGCAUGGAGCAACAAUCAAAGGAGCAAUCCACUAUAAGAUGGGCCCGCGGCGCAUUAGCUAGUUGGUGAGGUAACGGCUCACCAAGGCGACGAUGCGUAGCCGACCUGAGAGGGUGAUCGGCCACAUUGGGACUGAGACACGGCCCAGACUCCUACGGGAGGCAGCAGUGGGGAAUAUUGCACAAUGGGGGAAACCCUGAUGCAGCAACGCCGCGUGAGUGAUGACGGCCUUCGGGUUGUAAAGCUCUGUCUUCAGGGACGAUAAUGACGGUACCUGAGGAGGAAGCCACGGCUAACUACGUGCCAGCCGCCGCGGUAA